rnacentral:rRNA from 1 species
UACGUAGGGUGCAAGCGUUAUCCGGAAUUAUUGGGCGUAAAGAGCUCGUAGGCGGUUUGUCACGUCUGCUGUGAAAACUGGAGGCUCAACCUCCAGCCUGCAGUGGGUACGGGCAGACUAGAGUGCGGUAGGGGAGAUUGGAAUUCCUGGUGUAGCGGUGAAAUGCGCAGAUAUCAGGAGGAACACCGGUGGCGAAGGCGGGUCUCUGGGCCGAUAUUGACGCUGAGGAGCGAAAGCCAGGGGAGCGAACGGG